AUAUUUUGUAGCGAGGUUAACCGAAUAGGGGAGCCGAAGGGAAACCGAGUCUUAACUGGGCGUCUAGUUGCAAGGUAUAGACCCGAAACCCGGUGAUCUAGCCAUGGGCAGGUUGAAGGUUGGGUAACACUAACUGGAGGACCGAACCGACUAAUGUUGAAAAAUUAGCGGAUGACUUGUGGCUGGGGGUGAAAGGCCAAUCAAACCGGGAGAUAGCUGGUUCUCCCCGAAAUCUAUUUAGGUAGAGCCUUGAGCGGACACCUUCGGGGGUAGAGCACUGUUUCGGCUAGGGGUCCAUCCCGGAUUACCAACCCGAUGCAAACUACGAAUACCGAAGAGUGAUACUCAGGAGACACACGGCGGGUGCUAACGUCCGUCGUGGAGAGGGAAACAACCCAGACCGCCAGCUAAGGUCCCAAAGUCUAUAUUAAGUGGGAAACGAAGUGGGAAGGCUUAGACAGCUAGGAUGUUGGCUUAGAAGCAGCCAUCAUUUAAAGAAAGCGUAAUAGCUCACUAGUCGAGUCGGCCUGCGCGGAAGAUGUAACGGGGCUCAAAUAUAGCACCGAAGCUGCGGCAUCAGUAGCAAUACUGUUGGGUAGGGGAGCGUUCUGUAAGCGGAUGAAGGUGAAUCGAGAGGUUUGCUGGACGUAUCAGAAGUGCGAAUGCUGACAUAAGUAACGAUAAAACGGGUGAAAAACCCGUUCGCCGGAAGACCAAGGGUUCCUGUCCAACGUUAAUCGGGGCAGGGUGAGUCGGCCCCUAAGGCGAGGCUGAAAAGCGUAGUCGAUGGGAAACGGGUUAAUAUUCCCGUACUUGGAUAAAUUGCGAUGUGGGGACGGAGAAGGUUAGGUUAUCAACCUGUUGGAUAGGUGUGUUUAAGUUGGUAGGUGGAGCAUUUAGGCAAAUCCGGACUUCUUUAACACCGAGAGAUGAUGACGAGGCUCUACGGAGCUGAAGUAACCGAUACCACACUUCCAGGAAAAGCCACUAAGCUUCAGGUUUAUCUAAACCGUACUGAAAACCGACACAGGUGGUCAGGUAGAGAAUACUCAGGCGCUUGAGAGAACUCGGGUGAAGGAACUAGGCAAAAUAGCACCGUAACUUCGGGAGAAGGUGCGCCGGCGUAGAUUGUAGUCCCUUGCGGGCGAAGGUUGAACCGGUCGAAGAUACCAGCUGGCUGCAACUGUUUAUUAAAAACACAGCACUCUGCAAACACGAAAGUGGACGUAUAGGGUGUGAUGCCUGCCCGGUGCUGGAAGGUUAAUUGAUGGUGUAAUCGAAAGAGAAGCUCCUGAUCGAAGCCCCAGUAAACGGCGGCCGUAACUAUAACGGUCCUAAGGUAGCGAAAUUCCUUGUCGGGUAAGUUCCGACCUGCACGAAUGGUAUAAUGAUGGCCAGGCUGUCUCCACCCGAGACUCAGUGAAAUUGAAAUCGCCGUGAAGAUGCGGUGUACCCGCGGCUAGACGGAAAGACCCCGUGAACCUUUACUAUAGCUUGACACUGAACAUUGAAUUUUGAUGUGUAGGAUAGGUGGGAGACUAUGAAGAUGAUACGCCAGUAUUGUUGGAGUCGUCCUUGAAAUACCACCCUUUAACGUUUGAGUUCUAACGAAGAUUACGAAACGUGGUCUCGGACAGUGUCUGGUGGGUAGUUUGACUGGGGCGGUCUCCUCCCAAAGAGUAACGGAGGAGCACGAAGGUUUGCUAAUGACGGUCGGACAUCGUCAGGUUAGUGCAAUGGUAUAAGCAAGCUUAACUGCGAGACAGACAAGUCGA
rnacentral:rRNA from 1 species